GCCAUUGUAAUAUAGUGGUUUGAGUGUUGGACUAUAAUUCUGAAGACCAGGGUUUGAAUCCCUGCUCAGCCA